rnacentral:rRNA from 1 species
AUUGAACGCUGGCGGCAGGCUUAACAUAUGCAAGUCGAGCGGGGUGAUGGUGCUUGCACUAUCACUUAGCGGCGGACGGGUGAGUAAUGCUUAGGAAUCUGCCUAUUAGUGGGGGACAACAUCUCGAAAGGGAUGCUAAUACCGCAUACGUCCUACGGGAGAAAGCAGGGGAUCACUUGUGACCUUGCGCUAAUAGAUGAGCCUAAGUCGGAUUAGCUAGUUGGUGGGGUAAAGGCCUACCAAGGCGACGGUCUGUAGCGGGUCUGAGAGGAUGAUCCGCCACACUGGGACUGAGACACGGCCCAGACUCCUACGGGAGGCAGCGGUGGGGAAUAUUGGACAAUGGGGGGAACCCUGAUCCAGCCAUGCCGCGUGUGUGAAGAAGGCCUUAUGGUUGUAAAGCACUUUAAGCGAGGAGGAGGCUCUUUUGGUUAAUACCCAAGAUGAGUGGACGUUACUCGCAGAAUAAGCACCGGCUAACUCUGUGCCAGCCGCCGCAGUAA